AUCGAAAUAAAUUUAACGAAAAUCGGGAUGGUGGCCGGGUACUGCCAGAAGAUGACACGUUCCUGAACAUAUCUGCCGAUAAAUCUUGAAAUAAAUAUUUGAAAUAUCAUUUCACGCUGUGUCACAUUGGAAAGAGGAAGCAACUGACGAGAGCUGGUCGUAAAUGUGAAAGAUUUAAUAUACAACAUGGUGGGAUGGCUUCAAAAUAAUUAUGGUUUGAUUGCAAGGACAACAUGGAGGCGUUAAAGAGAUGCCACGAAAUUCGUAAGGACGUCAUGAUGUUGCUUAAUGAUCAAUCUGAUAGAUUCUUAUGCAAAUAUGAAAUUUCUACAAAACUACUAGGAAGAUACAAAGUA